CCUACGGGGGGCAGCAGUGGGGAAUAUUGGACAAUGGGGGGAACCCUGAUCCAGCCAUGCCGCGUGUGUGAAGAAGGCCCUCGGGUUGUAAGGCACUUUCAGUGAGGAAGAACGCCUGGUGGUUAAUACCCAUCAGGAAAGACAUCACUCACAGAAGAAGCACCGGCUAACUCCGUGCCAGCAGCCGCGGUAAUACGGAGGGUGCGAGCGUUAAUCGGAAUUACUGGGCGUAAAGCGCGCGUAGGUGGCUUGAUAAGCCGGUUGUGAAAGCCCCGGGCUCAACCUGGGAACGGCAUCCGGAACUGUCAAGCUAGAGUGCAGGAGAGGAAGGUAGAAUUCCCGGUGUAGCGGUGAAAUGCGUAGAGAUCGGGAGGAAUACCAGUGGCGAAGGCGGCCUUCUGGACUGACACUGACACUGAGGUGCGAAAGCGUGGGUAGCAAACAGGAUUAGAUACCCCUGUAGUC
rnacentral:rRNA from 1 species